AUGACGCUGCUCACCUUGAUAUUCUCAUUCUUCUACAUUGUGCUGUUCUGGUCCACAGACAUGACUCUUGCUGCAUCCAUUGAUCAACCUGCUGCCAUAAUUGCAAGUUUGGAAGACAGUGUGAACAUCAGUUGUACCCACACUUACAGUGACUACUACUACCUUUACUGGUACCGACAAACAACAACACAAGAUAAAUCCUUGAAACUUACCGGUCAUCUUUACACGACAACAUUUAAUCCUGAAACAGGCUAUGAUCGCUUUUAUAUCUAUGGAGAUUCAAGAAGCAAAGGAACACUACAGAUUUCCAAACUUACUUUAGAAGACAGUGCUGUAUAUUUUUGUGCUGUGAAUGACACAGUGCAGCAAGAAUCUGCAGUGAACAACAAAAACACCUGUUCCACCAGGAAAUUUAGAGGUUAUCAGAAUAGUUGA